rnacentral:rRNA from 1 species
UAGUCCACGCCGUAAACGAUGAUUACUGGUUGUAUGCGAUACACUGUAUGCGACUGAGCGAAAGCAUUAAGUAAUCCACCUGGGGAGUACGUUCGCAAGAAUGAAACUCAAAGGAAUUGACGGGGGCCCGCACAAGCGGAGGAACAUGUGGUUUAAUUCGAUGAUACGCGAGGAACCUUACCUGGGCUCAAACGUGAGCGCACGACAGAGAGAUCUGUUUUCUAGCAAUAGACGUGAAACGAGGUGCUGCAUGGCUGUCGUCAGCUCGUGCCGUGAGGUGUCGGGUUAAGUCCCAUAACGAGCGCAACCCCUAUCACUAGUUACCAUCAGGUUAAGCUGGGGACUCUAGUGAGACUGCCACCGUAAGGUGAGAGGAAGGCGGGGAUGACGUCAAGUCAGCACGGCCCUUACGUCCAGGGCUACACACGUGUUACAAUGGCCGGUACAAAGGGCAGCUACACAGCAAUGUGAUGCUAAUCUCAAAAGCCGGU